rnacentral:rRNA from 1 species
CCUACGGGAGGCAGCAGUGAGGAAUAUUGGUCAAUGGGCGGAAGCCUGAACCAGCCAAGUAGCGUGCAGGAUGACGGCCCUACGGGUUGUAAACUGCUUUUAUACGGGAAUAACGCGCCUUACGUGUAGGGCUUUGCAUGUACCGUAUGAAUAAGGACCGGCUAAUUCCGUGCCAGCAGCCGCGGUAAUACGGAAGGUCCGGGCGUUAUCCGGAUUUAUUGGGUUUAAAGGGAGCGUAGGCCGCAUGUCAAGCGUGCUGUGAAAUGUCCGGGCUCAACCCGGGCCUUGCAGCGCGAACUGGCGUGCUUGAGUCCGCGGAAAGCAGGCGGAAUUCGUCGUGUAGCGGUGAAAUGCUUAGAUAUGACGAAGAACCACGAUUGCGAAGGCAGCAUGCUGCAGCGGAACUGACGCUGAUGCUCGAAAGCGCGGGUAUCGAACAGGAUUAGAUACCCGAGUAGUC